rnacentral:rRNA from 1 species
AUUGAACGCUGGCGGCAGGCCUAACACAUGCAAGUCGAACGAGUGGCGGACGGGUGAGUAAUGUCUGGGAAACUGCCUGAUGGAGGGGGAUAACUACUGGAAACGGUAGCUAAUACCGCAUACCAUCGGAUGUGCCCAGAUGGGAUUAGCUUGUAGGGGGGGUAAAGGCUCACCGAGGCGACGAUCCCUAGCGGGUCUGAGAGGAUGACCAGCCAAACGGGAACGGAGACAGGGUCCAGACUCCGACGGGAGGCAGCAGGGGGGAAUAUUGCACAAUGGGCGCAAGCCUGAUGCAUCCAUGCCGCGUGGAUGAAGAAGGCCUUCGGGUUGUAAAGUACUUUCAGCGGGGAGGCGUUACCCGCAGAAGAAGCACCGGCUAACUCCGUGCCAGCAGCCGCGGUAAUUC